rnacentral:rRNA from 1 species
GGAACACUCGUGGCGAAGGCGAGUCACUGGACAGUAUCGGACGCUGAGGCACGAAGGCCAGGGUAGCGAAAGGGAUUAGAUACCCCUGUAGUCCUGGCAGUAAACGGUGUGCGCUUGGUGUGAGGGGAUUCGACCCCCCUUGUGCCGGAGCUAACGCGUUAAGCGCACCGCCUGGGAAGUACGGCCGCAAGGCUAAAACUCAAAGAAAUUGACGGGGACCCGCACAAGCGGUGGAGUAUGUGGCUUAAUUCGAUGCAACGCGAAGAACCUUACCAAGGCUUGACAUGCAUCUCUAAGCGCGUGAAAGCGCGUGACCCUUCGGGGGAUUUGCUCAGGUGCUGCAUGGCCGUCGUCAGCUCGUGUCGUGAGAUGUUGGGUUAAGUCCCGCAACGAGCGCAACCCUUGUGACUAGUUGCCAGCACGUCAUGGUGGGAACUCUAGUCAGACUGCCCAGAUCAACUGGGAGGAAGGUGGGGACGACGUCAGGUCAGUAUGGCCCUUACGCCUUGGGCUGCACACGUACUACAAUGCCCAGCACAAUGAGAACCGAGACCGCGAGGUGGAGGAAAUCUGCAAAACUGGGCCCAGUUCGGAUUGGAGGCUGCAACUCGCCUCCAUGAAGCCGGAAUCGCUAGUAAUGACGCAUCAGCUACGGCGUCGUGAAUACGUUCCCGGGUCUUGUACACACCGCCCGUCACAUCAUGGAAGCCGGUCGCACCCGAAGUGCC